rnacentral:rRNA from 1 species
CUACGGCGGCUGCAGUUGAGAAUCAUUCGCAAUGGGCGAAAGCCUGACGAUGCGACGCCGUGUGAACGAAGAAGGCCUUCGGGUUGUAAAGUUCUUUCGCUUGGGAACAAGAGAUAUAGGUAAAUAAUCUAUAAAUUUGAGUGUACCAGGUAAAGAAGCACCGGCUAACUCCGUGCCAGCAGCUGCGGUAAUACGGAGGGUGCAAGCAUUAAUCGGAUUUAUUGGGCGUAAAGGGCGCGUAGGCGGCAAUGUAAGUCAGAUGUGAAAUUCUGAAGCUCAACUUUGGAGCUGCAUUUGAAACUACAUAGCUUGAGGAUAGGCGGAGAAAAUGGAAUUCCACAUGUAGCGGUGAAAUGCGUAGAUAUGUGGAGGAAGAUCGGUGGCGAAGGCGAUUUUCUAGCUUAAACCUGACGCUGAGGCGCGAAAGCAAGGGUAGCAAACAGGAUUAGAUACCCGAGUAGUC